rnacentral:rRNA from 1 species
CACGUAGGGCGCAAGCGUUGUCCGGAAUUAUUGGGCGUAAAGAGCUCGUAGGUGGUUUGUUACGUCUGCUGUGAAAACCUAGGGCUUAACCCUGGGCUUGCAGUGGAUACGGGCAGACUAGAGGUAGGUAGGGGAGAAUGGAAUUCCUGGUGUAGCGGUGAAAUGCGCAGAUAUCAGGAGGAACACCGGUGGCGAAGGCGGCCAUCUGGACGGUGACUGACGCUGAGACGCGAAAGCGUGGGGAGCAAACAGG